rnacentral:rRNA from 1 species
GAAUUCGCCCUUAGAGUUUGAUCCUGGCUCAGGACGAACGCUGGCGGCGCGCCUAACACAUGCAAGUCGAACGAGCGAGAGAGAGCUUGCUUUCUCGAGCGAGUGGCGAACGGGUGAGUAACGCGUGAGGAACCUGCCUCAAAGAGGGGGACAACAGUUGGAAACGACUGCUAAUACCGCAUGAGCCCACGACCCGGCAUCGGGUAGAGGGAAAAGGAGCAAUCCGCUUUGAGAUGGCCUCGCGUCCGAUUAGCUAGUUGGUGAGGUAACGGCCCACCAAGGCGACGAUCGGUAGCCGGACUGAGAGGUUGAACGGCCACAUUGGGACUGAGACACGGCCCAGACUCCUACGGGAGGCAGCAGUGGGGAAUAUUGCACAAUGGGGGAAACCCUGAUGCAGCGACGCCGCGUGGAGGAAGAAGGUCUUCGGAUUGUAAACUCCUGUUGUUGAGGAAGAUAAUGACGGUACUCAACAAGGAAGUGACGGCUAACUACGUGCCAGCAGCCGCGGUAAAACGUAGGUCACAAGCGUUGUCCGGAAUUACUGGGUGUAAAGGGAGCGCAGGCGGGAAGACAAGUUGGAAGUGAAAUCCAUGGGCUCAACCCAUGAACUGCUUUCAAAACUGUUUUUCUUGAGUAGUGCAGAGGUAGGCGGAAUUCCCGGUGUAGCGGUGGAAUGCGUAGAUAUCGGGAGGAACACCAGUGGCGAAGGCGGCCUACUGGGCACCAACUGACGCUGAGGCUCGAAAGUGUGGGUAGCAAACAGGAUUAGAUACCCUGGUAGCCCACACUGUAAACGAUGAUUACUAGGGGUUGGAGGAUUGCCCCCUUCAGUGCCGCAGUUAACACAAUAAGUAAUCCACCUGGGGAGUACGACCGCAAGGUUGAAACUCAAAGGAAUUGACGGGGGCCCGCACAAGCAGUGGAGUAUGUGGUUUAAUUCGACGCAACGCGAAGAACCUUACCAAGUCUUGACAUCCUGCGACGCACAUAGAAAUAUGUGUUUCCUUCGGGACGCAGAGACAGGUGGUGCAUGGUUGUCGUCAGCUCGUGUCGUGAGAUGUUGGGUUAAGUCCCGCAACGAGCGUAACCCCUAUGUUCAGUAGCCAGCAGGUAAAGCUGGGCACUCUGGACAGACUGCCGGGGAUAACCCGGAGGAAGGCGGGGAUGACGUCAAAUCAUCAUGCCCCUUACGGCCUGGGCUACACACGUGCUACAAUGGCGUAAACAAAGGGAAGCGAGAGGGUGACCUGGAGCGAAUCCCAAAAAUAACGUCCCAGUUCGGACUGUAGUCUGCAACCCGACUACACGAAGCUGGAAUCGCUAGUAAUCGCGAAUCAGCAUGUCGCGGUGAAUACGUUCCCGGGUCUUGCACUCACCGCCCGUCA